rnacentral:rRNA from 1 species
AACGAACGCUGGCGGCAUGCCUAACACAUGCAAGUCGAACGAGACCUUCGGGUCUAGUGGCGCACGGGUGCGUAACGCGUGGGAACCUGCCCUUAGGUUCGGAAUAACUCAGAGAAAUUUGAGCUAAUACCGGAUAAUGUCUUCGGACCAAAGAUUUAUCGCCUUUGGAUGGGCCCGCGUUGGAUUAGCUAGUUGGUGGGGUAAAGGCCUACCAAGGCGACGAUCCAUAGCUGGUCUGAG